rnacentral:rRNA from 1 species
AUUGAACGCUGGCGGCAGGCCUAACUCAUGCAAGUCGAGCGGUGCGGCGGACGGGUGAGUAAUGCCUAGGAAUCUGCCUGGUAGUGGGGGAUAACGUCCGGAACCGGGCGCUAAUACCGCAUACUAUCAUAUGAGCCUAGGUCGGAUUAGCUAGUUGUGUGGGUAAAGGCCUACCAAGGCGACGCUCCGUAACUGGUCUGAGGGGAUGAUCAGUCACACUAGAACGGAGACAAGGUCCAGCCUCAGACGGGAGGCAGCAGUGGGGAAUGUUGGACUAUGGGCGAAACCCUGAGCCAGCCCUGCCGCGUUUGUGAAGAAGGUAUUGGGAUUGUAAAGCUCUUUUAGUUGGGUGGCGUUACCAACAGAAUAAGCACCGGCUAACUUCGUGCCAGCCGCCGCGGUAAUUC